UACACAUGCAAGUCGAACGGUAACAGGAAGCAGCUUGCUGCUUUGCUGACGAGUGGCGGACGGGUGAGUAAUGUCUGGGAAACUGCCUGAUGGAGGGGGAUAACUACUGGAAACGGUAGCUAAUACCGCAUAACGUCGCAAGACCAAAGAGGGGGACCUUCGGGCCUCUUGCCAUCGGAUGUGCCCAGAUGGGAUUAGCUAGUAGGUGGGGUAAAGGCUCACCUAGGCGACGAUCCCUAGCUGGUCUGAGAGGAUGACCAGCCACACUGGAACUGAGACACGGUCCAGACUCCUACGGGAGGCAGCAGUGGGGAAUAUUGCACAAUGGGCGCAAGCCUGAUG
rnacentral:rRNA from 1 species